rnacentral:rRNA from 1 species
UUGAAAGGGAAACGAUUGAAGUCAGUCGUACCGACGGAAAAUCAACUUUUUGGGUGCUUAUCGUGGGUGAUGUUGAGCCUUACGGUCUUCGUCGCUUGUGUUAUUGGUGCCUUUGUGGUGUACUUUUUCGUAUGGUAGGUCAACAUCGAUUUUGAUCGUCAUAAAAUGAUCGGAGGAAUGUAGCUUUGAUUUCGAAGUGUUAUAGCCUUUGGUAGAUGUGACGAUUGGGAUCGAGGAUUGCAACGAAUACCCUUUGGGCUAUCCGUCUGGCCUCUGAAAGUCGCUUGGGUGUUGAAAGCGUGCUUAUGAUUAUCCAAGUUGGCGGUCAACAGGUUAGAACGUGAUUACAUUCGUUAAGGAUGUUGACGUA